CUACGGGGUGCAGCAGUGGGGAAUAUUGCACAAUGGGGGAAACCCUGAUGCAGCGACGCCGCGUGAGUGAAGAAGUAUCUCGGUAUGUAAAGCUCUAUCAGCAGGGAAGAUAAUGACAGUACCUGACUAAGAAGCCCCGGCUAACUACGUGCCAGCAGCCGCGGUAAUACGUAGGGGGCAAGCGUUAUCCGGAUUUACUGGGUGUAAAGGGAGCGCAGGUGGUUCGGCAAGUCAGAUGUGAAAGCCCGGGGCUCAACCUCGGGACUGCAUUUGAAACUGUCGGACUAGAGUGCAGGAGAGGUAAGUGGAAUUCCUAGUGUAGCGGUGAAAUGCGUAGAUAUUAGGAGGAACACCAGUGGCGAAGGCGACUUACUGGACUGUAACUGACACUGAGGCUCGAAAGCGUGGGGAGCAAACAGGAUUAGAUACCCCUGUAGUC
rnacentral:rRNA from 1 species